rnacentral:rRNA from 1 species
CCUGGCUCAGAUUGAACGCUGCGGCAUGCUUUACACAUGCAAGUCGAACGGCAGCACGGGCUUCGGCCUGGUGGCGAGUGGCGAACGGGUGAGUAAUGCGUCGGAACGUGCCGAGUAAUGGGGGAUAACGCAUCGAAAGGUGUGCUAAUACCGCAUACGCUCUGAGGAGGAAAGCGGGGGACCUUCGGGCCUCGCGUUAUUCGAGCGGCCGACGUCUGAUUAGCUAGUUGGUGGGGUAAAGGCUCACCAAGGCGACGAUCAGUAGCGGGUCUGAGAGGAUGAUCCGCCACACUGGGACUGAGACACGGCCCAGACUCCUACGGGAGGCAGCAGUGGGGAAUUUUGGACAAUGGGCGAAAGCCUGAUCCAGCCAUGCCGCGUGAGUGAAGAAGGCCUUCGGGUUGUAAAGCUCUUUUGUCCGGGAGGAAAUCCCGUAACCUAAUACGUUACGGGGAUGACAGUACUGAAGAAUAAGCACCGCUAACUACGUGCCAGCAGCCGCGGUAAUAC